rnacentral:rRNA from 1 species
GACGUAGGAGGCGAGCGUUGUCCGGAUUCAUUGGUCGUAAAGAGCUCGUAGGCGGUCUGUCGCGUCGGAUGUGAAAACCCAGGGCUCAACCCUGGGCCUGCAUUCGAUACGGGCAGACUAGAGUUCGGUAGGGGAGACUGGAAUUCCUGGUGUAGCGGUGAAAUGCGCAGAUAUCAGGAGGAACACCGGUGGCGAAGGCGGGUCUCUGGGCCGAUACUGACGCUGAGGAGCGAAAGCGUGGGGAGCGAACAGG